UGUAAUAUUAGCAUUGUGCAGAAGUUCUCUGCUUCUUAUCAUGAAAGAUCAUUUUCAAAUGAAGUUCAUUUAUCGUGCCUACACGUGCCUUUCUAAACAUUAUGUUUCAAGCGGAACCACGAAAGAGGUGGAUAUGAGAGUCACAGAGUGUGUGCUUUUUGUUUACAGUGAACCUCCAGAGACAAGGAAACUGUUCCGGUUUAAAACCGAAAGGUGGCUGGAAGGGCCAGAGGCUCGGGAACUGGCGCUCUUGAGGGAUCUUACCUGAGAGGUGAAAAUGUCCUAAAAACCGGUUUACAGCGAUGGUUGUGAACACAGAUGUAUAAAAGUCAUUGAAUUGUGCAACUGACAUGUGGACAUCAGAGGCAACAUUCAAGAGUCAGUUCCUUCCUUCGUGAGUUCUUGGCAUUGACCUUGGGUUGUCAGGCUUGAGCGGCAAGUCCCUCCGCCUUCAGAACCGCCUCACCAACCCUCAUGCACCUCUAACACUAGAAUUGAAACCGAAGUCAGAAUAUGCUCACCAAUUCAGUCAGUAAAUACAGUGUGAGCCUCUGAGACAGCUCAACAGGUUCUUCUACAAUAGGGUGUUGGAAAGAGAAGUCUGUAUUUAAGGUUCGAUUUCUAAGAUGAGAGAACUUUUUUUGUGGCUGCUCUAUGACGCAGCUAUCAGAUGUGGGUGCUGGGAACUGAGUUCAGGUCCUCUCCAAGUGCUGUCAACCAGGUUUCCAGGCCUGGCUGCCAAGCCUGCUUAAUUGAAAGCAUGAGGAUAAAUGUCACAGCUCUUGAUGACUGAGUCACAGAACCAGCCCUGGAUACCCUAGUUGUGUGAUAACUACCUCUGCUCUUGAAUCAUUUUCUAUUAGUUGCUCUUCUUUAUAGCAGAAACUAUCUCAAUUAAAACAGUGACCAAGCCGGGCCUGGUGGUGCAGGCCUUUAAUCCCAGCACUCAGGAGGCAGAGGCAGGCGGAUUUCUGAGUUCGAAGCCAGCCUGGUCUACAAAGUGAGUUCCAGGACAGUCAGGGCUAUACAGAGAAACGCUGUCUCGAAACCUCCUCCCCCCCAAAAAAAA
rnacentral:lncRNA from 1 species